UACGUAGGGUGCAAGCGUUGUCCGGAAUUAUUGGGCGUAAAGAGCUCGUAGGUGGCGGGUCACGUCGGGUGUGAAAGCCCCGGGGCUACAACUCCGGGUCUGCAGUCGAUACGGGCAGACUAGAGUUCGGUAGGGGAGACUGGAAUUCCUGGUGAGCGGUGAAAUGCGCAGAUAUCAGGAGGAACGCCGGUGGCGGAAGGCGGGUCUCUGGGCCGAUACUGACGUGAGGAGCGAAAGCGUGGGGAGCGAACAGG
rnacentral:rRNA from 1 species